AAAGUCGUAACAAGGUCUCCGUAGGUGAACCUGCGGAGGGAUCAUUAACGAAUGGUCUCUGUACCUUCAACCCCUCAAACCUGUGGACGUUUAAAAACGUGCUUCGGUGCUUCUGGCGCCGCCUAUACGCUUGAAUCAGUCGGACGUCUGAAUUAAACAUUUGAAUCAAAACUUUCAACAAAGGAUCUCUUGGCUCUC
rnacentral:misc_RNA from 1 species